rnacentral:rRNA from 1 species
GACGAACGCUGGCGGCGUGCUUAACACAUGCAAGUCGAACGGAAAGGCCUGCUUUCCCUUGUGGAUUGCGGGUACUCGAGUGGCGAACGGGUGAGUAACACGUGAGUGAUCUGCCCCCAACUUGGGUAUAAGCCUGGGAAACUGGGUCUAAUUCCCGAUAGGACUGCAGGGUGGUGCCUGUGGUGGAAAACGAUUUUCUAGUGGUUGGGGAUGAGCUCGCGGCCUAUCAGCUUGUUGGUGGGGUAAUGGCCUACCAAGGCGGCGACGGGUAGCCGGCCUGAGAGGGUGGACGGCCACAUUGGGACUGAGAUACGGCCCAGACUCCUACGGGAGGCAGCAGUGGGGAAUAGUGCACAAUGGGCGGAAGCCUGAUGCAGCGACGCCGCGUGGGGGAUGACGGCCUUCGGGUUGUAAACUCCUUUCGACCGCGAGGAAGCCGCCUGGUUGGAAGGGUGGUGACGGUAGUGGUAGAAGAAGCACCGGCUAACUACGUG